rnacentral:rRNA from 1 species
UACGGAGGAGGCAAGCGUUAUCCGGAAUUAUUGGGCGUAAAGCGUCCGCAGGUGGCACUUCAAGUCUGUCGUCAAAGACUGGGGCUUAACCCUGGAAAGGCGGUGGAAACUGAAGCGCUAGAGUGCGGUAGGGGUAGAGGGAAUUCCCGGUGUAGCGGUGAAAUGCGUAGAUAUCGGGAAGAACACCAGUGGCGAAAGCGCUCUACUGGGCCAUAACUGACACUGAGGGACGAAAGCUAGGGGAGCGAAAGGG